rnacentral:tRNA from 1 species
GCAUCCGUAGCCCAACUGGCAGAGGCCGCCGGCUUAGACCCGGCUCGUUGCAGGUUCGACUCCUGCCGGAUGCA